rnacentral:rRNA from 1 species
UUAGAGUUUGAUCCUGUNUCAGGAUGAACGCUGNCGGCGUGCCUAAUACAUGCAAGUCGAGCGAAUGGAUUAAGAGCUUGCUCUUAUGAAGUUAGCGNCGGACGGGUGAGUAACACGUGGGUAACCUGCCCAUANGACUGGGAUAACUCCGGGAAACCGNGGCUAAUACCGGAUAACAUUUUGAACNNCAUGGUUCGAAAUUNAAAGGCGGCUUCGGCUGUCACUUAUGGAUGGACCCGCGUNGCAUUANCUAGUUGGUGAGGUAACGGCUCACCAAGGCAACGAUNCGUAGCCGACNUGAGAGGGUGAUNGGCCACACUGGGACUGAGACACGGCCCAGACUCCUNCGGGAGGCAGCAGUAGGGAAUCUUCCGCAAUGGACGAAAGUCUGACGGAGCAACGCCGCGUGAGUGAUGAAGGCUUUCGGGUCGUAAAACUCUGUUGUUAGGGAAGAACAAGNNCUAGUUGAAUAAGCUGGCACCUUGACGGUACCUANCCAGAAAGCCNCGGCUAACUACGUGCCAGCAGCCGCGGUAAUACGUAGGUGGCAAGCGUUAUCCGGAAUUAUUGGGCGUAAAGCGCGCGCAGGUGGUUUCUUAAGUCUGAUGUGAAAUCCCNCGGCUCAACCGUGGAGGGUCAUUGGAAACUGGGAGACUUGAGUGCAGAAGAGGAAAGUGGAAUUUCCAUGUGUAGCGGUGAAAUGCGUAGAGAUAUCGAGGAACACCAGUGGCGAAGGCGACUUUCUGGUCUGUAACCUGACCACUGAGGCGCGAAAGCGUGGGAGCAACAGAU